rnacentral:misc_RNA from 1 species
UUUCCGUAGGUGAACCUGCGGAAGGAUCAUUCAUAAUAAGUGUUUUAUGGCACUUUUUUAAAUCCAUAUCCACCUUGCGUGCAAUGUCAGGGUUGAUUUCUCUCUCGAGAGGAUCAACCCCAAACAUCAACUAUAUCUCAACUCUUUGUCUGAAAAAUAUUACGAAUAAAACAAUUCAAAAUACAACUUUCAACAACGGAUCUCUUGGCUCUC